rnacentral:lncRNA from 1 species
GUGGGAAUGGACUGAUAGUCCUCAGGCUGGGUUGUUGCUGGGAUCCUUCCUUUUUUUCCUGAACAUGUCUGUGGCUUGAGGGAGCCUGGGCAGGUGACUAGCAUGUCUUUAAGGUGAGAAAGAUGGGAUACCAUGGGGGCUAGUGGAUGCUGAGGGGAGAUGGCAUAGCUACUUACGUACACUGUCUUGUUUGAUUUCCAAACGCUCCCCAUGACAUACCCCAUUUACCUGGCGAGGGACCUGAUCUACAGCCAGUUCCAUGGCCAUGUGUCAGAGGGAGCCGUACAGAGGCCAGCAGGCUCCAUGUGUUCCCUUUCCCAUGUCAUUGCAUGCCUUGUUUGCUGAUGUUUGCGUCCAUCCUCAGGGAGCUGGCGCUAACGGUCUGUUAGGGGUGGAAGAGACGUCUGGCUUGGCAUUGCACGAGUGGGAGGUGGGCUCAUGUUGUCCAUGGUGCCUCGGUGUGAUGUGGCGAGCAGUGUGCAUCCCUUCAGUCUCUUGGUCUUGUGUGGGAAAGAGUCCACUUGCCUCAGGCAGGCUUGAGAGACGAGCGGCUCCCUGAUUGGGGGCCUCUGUGUAUAGCACCUCGGGUGUAUUGCUGUCUGGGCUUGGGUGACUUCUAAGUGUGGAAGGGGUAAGGUUGGUGUCUCUGAGGCAGAGGUGCCUGAAUCACAUGGACGGGAUGCAAUUCAGAGUCCUGAGGCUGUGACAUCUCCAGCCCAGCUUUCAGACAAGGUUGGCCUGGGAGGAAAGAAGGAAAGUUUCUAAGGUCAACCCGAGGCCACUUGUUCUGGGAAGUGGGUCCACUUGACCUGUCCCAAUUGAAGGGGAACACAUGCUCUCUCAGUGUCCUCAGGACUGCAGAGGCUCCUCUGAAGAGCCACAGGCCACCUCACAAACUUUCCAGCCUUCCUCGAUGGGAGUCUUUGAUGGGCACAGGCCUGGGACGCCCUCUCUCAUAGUUGGCCUCCCAUGGAAAUCAAGCGGAGGUCAGAAGAGGCACCCUGAGCCAUCUUCCUGCUUAGACUCGGAUGAAGUCUUCCAUAGCUCUGAGGAGAAAGGCCACAGGCAAAGCAAGACUGUGGCUUCUUUAAGUCAGCGUGUCCUCACACACUGGUGUUGUCCAACAUCCUCUCAGCCUUGAACACUUAUCCUAGUCAGCUACGAUCGACUCGUUCGAUAUCGACUGCAGCCAGGGUCCCUAAAAGGACAUGGAGGCAGCUGUGGGUGUUGUCUGUAGCUGUCAUGCAGGUACCCCAAGGUUUCCUGACACUGGGGUCCCAUUCUGAAGACACCCUUGGGGUGUGUAUGCUGCGAAGUCUUUCCUCAUCCCUUGAGCUGAAUGACAGGUUGAGCUGUCUCAGAGGGUGACUUGGCUGGGUGCCAGGCUCUUGACCUGGGAUUCUCUUGGUUGGGAGACCGAGGUGGCCAUGUCCAGACCAGGCCAGAGUCUUGAGCUGCUCUUGAUACACAGGGGCAAGGUCAGGUGAGCUUGUGGGUGUAAAGGGAAUAGAAAAGAUGGGAGUGGUCUGAUCUUGACUGCAAAAAACAAAAACAAAAAUAAAAACCAAAAUGAAAG